UACGAAGGGGGCUAGCGUUGCUCGGAAUCACUGGGCGUAAAGGGUGCGUAGACGGGUUUUUAAGUCAGGGGUGAAAUCCUGGAGCUCAACUCCAGAACUGCCUUUGAUACUGAAGAUCUUGAGUCCGGGAGAGGUGAGUGGAACUGCGAGUGUAGAGGUGAAAUUCGUAGAUAUUCGCAAGAACACCAGUGGCGAAGGCGGCUCACUGGCCCGGUACUGACGCUGAGGCACGAAAGCGUGGGGAGCAAACAGG
rnacentral:rRNA from 1 species